ACCUGAAAUCUAAGGAAAUUAGGUCGGAUACAUAC
rnacentral:sRNA from 1 species